GGCCCCGUAGCUUAGUCUGGUGGAGCGCACGACUGAUACGCCCUGCAAAAGGCGAAGAAAUCGUGAGGUCCCGUGUUCAAAUCACGGCGGGGCCA
rnacentral:tRNA from 1 species